rnacentral:rRNA from 1 species
UACGGGGGGGGCAAGCGUUGUUCGGAAUUACUGGGCGUAAAGGGCGCGUAGGCGGCCUGCUAAGUCGGAUGUGAAAUCCCUCGGCUCAACCCAGGAACUGCGUCCGAUACUGGAAGGCUUGAAUCCGGGAGAGGGAUGCGGAAUUCCAGGUGUAGCGGUGAAAUGCGUAGAUAUCUGGAGGAACACCGGUGGCGAAGGCGGCAUCCUGGACCGGUAUUGACGCUGAGGCGCGAAAGCCAGGGGAGCAAACGGG